UAACGCGUGAGGAACCUGCCUUGAAGAGGGGGACAACAGUUGGAAACGACUGCUAAUACCGCAUGAAGCAUAGGGGUCGCAUGAUCUUUAUGCCAAAGAUUUAUCGCUUCAAGAUGGCCUCGCGUCUGAUUAGCUAGUUGGCGGGGUAACGGCCCACCAAGGCGACGAUCAGUAGCCGGACUGAGAGGUUGAACGGCCACAUUGGGACUGAGACACGGCCCAG
rnacentral:rRNA from 1 species